GAAAAGCGAGUGAAGCAGCCCGUACCGUAAACCGACACAGGUGGUUGGGAUGAGUAUUCUAAGGCGCUCGAGAGAUUCAUGGCUAAGGAACUAGGCAAAAUAGACCCGUAACUUCGGGAGAAGGGUCGCCCCCUUAUGGGGGGCCGCAGUGAAGAGGUCCAGGCGACUGUUUAUCAAAAACRCAGGGCUCUGCAAAAUCGAAAKAUGACGUAUAGGGCUGACWCCUGCCCGGUGCUGGAAGGUUAAGAGGAGAUGUCAUUCCUUCGGGUACAAGCAUUAAUU
rnacentral:rRNA from 1 species